UACGGAGGGUGCGAGCGUUGUCCGGAAUUACUGGGCGUAAAGCGUGCGCAGGCGGUUUUGUAAGCCAGAUGUGAAAUCCCCGGGCUUAACCUGGGAAUGGCAUUUGGGACUGCAAGGCUUGAGUGCGGCAGGGGAGACUGGAAUUCCUGGUGUAGCGGUGAAAUGCGCAGAUAUCAGGAGGAACACCGGUGGCGAAGGCGGGUCUCUGGGCCGAAACUGACGCUGAGGAGCGAAAGCGUGGGGAGCGAACAGG
rnacentral:rRNA from 1 species